UCUGGUGAUAAUGGCAAGGAGGUCACACCUGUUCCCAUGCCGAACACAGAAGUUAAGCUCCUUAGCGCCGAUGGUAGUCGGACUAACGUUCCGCUAGAGUAGGACGUUGCCAGGC
rnacentral:rRNA from 1 species